rnacentral:tRNA from 1 species
CGGAGUGUGGCUCAGCCUGGUAGAGCACUGCGUUCUGGACGCAGGGGUCGGAGGUUCGAAUCCUCUCACUCCGACCA